rnacentral:rRNA from 1 species
AUUGAACGCUGGCGGCAGGCCUAACACAUGCAAGUCGAGCGAGCGGCGGACGGGUGAGUAAUGCCUAGGAAUCUGCCUGGUAGUGGGGGAUAACGUCCGGAAACGGGCGCUAAUACCGCAUACUAUCGGAUGAACCCAUAUGGGAUUAGCUAGUUGGUGAGGUAAUGGCUCACCAAGGCGACGAUCCCUAGCUGGUCUGAGAGGAUGAUCAGCCACACUGGAACUGAGACACGGCCCAGACUCCUACGGGAGGCAGCAGUGGGGAAUAUUGCACAAUGGGCGCAAGCCUGAUGCAGCCAUGCCGCGUGUAUGAAGAAGGCCUUAGGGUUGUAAAGUACUUUCAGCGGGGAGGCGUUACCCGCAGAAGAAGCACCGGCUAACUCCGUGCCAGCCGCCGCGGUAAUUC